CCACUUCAACAGUAGAAAUAGAACCAGCGGACCUGAUGCAAUCUCUGCCUGUUAACCGGCCAGGAACUUGGGCGCUGUUCACAGUGCAAGGAAGCUUUCAUAAGGAGUGUUUCCCACCCCAACCGUUUGUUUCUCAAGAGCAAUCUUGUACAUCAGGAGGCACCAUCAAGGUUUAGUUUUAGUUUUCCAUAGCACACCGAGAUCUCCACAGGACGUCCUAGGACUCAGGGCCCCUCCAUCUGGCUGUACUGACUCUUCUAGAGCUCAGGAUAUGAAUUGAAGAAUGUUCGUAUGUCAAGUCCCGCCUGAAGAUUCACUCUGGGGCUGACUUCCCUUCUCAUAAGCAUUGUUGUAGAAAACAUGCCCUCUGAGGAUCUUUCUUGUAGUGGGGACUGGACAGAGAGCCUCAUGCAUAGUAGGCAGGCUCCCUACCCUGAGCUCUAUCUCCAGUCCUGUGAUCCUGACUGGAGUCUUGCCUUUCUCCCUGGACUUGGAGCCAUUGCUGGACUGUGAUUCCUAGAACAGUCCUGUCCAGUCUGGGGGCACUACCUGCCUCCACUGAUUGGAAUUCCUACGUUCCCAGCCCUCAAGGUGACAACUUUCCACACAUGAAGUGGCCUCACAGGACACCCAAGAGUCAGCUUCAGAAGGCUCAGGGGACAAUGACAUUUGCUUAUCCAGUCCGGUGCUUCGAAAGCAUGGUCCCUGGGCUACAGCCUCUGAGAGCCCCACCUGGGAGGCCCUCCCAACUUCACCUCCACAAGUCCCCAGGUGAUUUCAGUGCUGAUGAGGGAAGAAGGCAGGACUUCAAGGAGGCCUUGCUGGCAUAUGCUGCUCUUACCUUCCGGAGAUUCAGACCCACUCCCCAAGAAGACGGAGGUGAUCAGACUCAAACUCCAGGGUGUCCUGCUGUAUCCCGCCCCACAUCCUAGAAGGAAAGCCACAUAUCCUAUUGCGAGGGACCCUGUGCAAAACUGAUCCAGGGAAUCCAGAGCUGGAGGUAAGGUGUGUUAAGCGGUGUGUGAUUGGAAUCCAGUCCACAAAGUAUGCAGGAUCCCCAACCUGGCCUCAAGAUGGACCCUACAGAAAGUACAUUCACUGAGGAGGCUCCUUCCUCCGAGUCCGCGGGUUCUUCCUCCCAGUCGGCUGGUACUUCAGAGAAUUGCAAUCCUCAUGCCCUUCCAGCCUAGUCCCCUUCCCAACUCCCUGUCCCAUGAGAUCGGGAUGCAAAGCCUUAUGGGAUAAACGUCCUGAGGCAGCAGAUUGCCUGCUCUUCUCUAACUCCCCAGCCAGGAGGGGAGAAGCCCUGGAGUCUCCUCCUGCUUGUCUGUGAUGCUCUCGUGAGUCCUAAGCGCAUCUCACACCGUGGUCCAUGACAAUGCAUUUUUACAGAAGAGAGUGUCCAAUCCUCUGGAGCAGGUGUUGACAAGCAGCUGUGAGCCACCUCAUGUAGGUUCUGGGAAACCAAACUUGGGUUCUCUUGAAAAGCAGCAAUAGCUCUUCACUGCUGGGUCAUUUUUCUAGCCCCAGAGACAGGGUUCUCCAUGUAGCUCUGGCUGUCCUGGAACUCACUCUGUAAACCAGGCUGGCCUCUAACUCACAGAGAUCCUUCUCUCUCUUUCUACUUUUGUGAGUCCUAGGGGACUGGAAGCAAGCUGUCAAGCUCACCUGCAAAUGCCUUUACCAACUUGCUGGCCUGUUUCAGCAUUCUUAUCCGGGAACAUCUGUACAUAAAAUAAAUAAAUACUCUGUGCCAGCAAACUUGAUGCCAA